GAGUUUGAUCCUGGCUCAGGACGAACGCUGGCGGCGUGCUUAACACAUGCAAGUCGAGCGGAAAGGCCCUUCGGGGUACUCGAGCGGCGAACGGGUGAGUAACACGUGAGUAACCUGCCCUGGACUUUGGGAUAACCCUCGGAAACGGGGGCGUAAUACCGGAUACGACCUUCCUUCGCAUGGGGGUGGGUGGAAAGUUUUUCGGUCUGGGAUGGGCUCGCGGCCUAUCAGCUUGUUGGUGGGGUGAUGGCCUACCAAGGCGACGACGGGUAGCCGGCCUGAGAGGGCGACCGGCCACACUGGGACUGAGACACGGCCCAGACUCCUACGGGAGGCAGCAGUGGGGAAUAUUGCACAAUGGGCGGAAGCCUGAUGCAGCGACG
rnacentral:rRNA from 1 species